AGAAGCCCGGGAAAUCUUCGAUUUCGACUCCAAGUUUGCAACUUGGCGUGUUAACACCACCAGACU
rnacentral:tRNA from 1 species